GGAUGUGAUGGUGAUCUGGCUGCGACAUCUGUCACCCCAUUGAUCGCCAAGGUUGAUUCAGCUGAUCUGGCUGGCUAGCCGGGUGUCCCCUUCCUCCUUCAGUGAUCAUGUGUGUCCCUCCCGAAGCUGCGCGCUCGGUCGAAGAGGACGACCACCCCCGAUAGAGGAGGACCGUUCCUCGGUCAAGGGUAUACGACUAGCUGUGCUCCCCUGCUAGAACCUCCAAACAAGCUCUCAGCAAUCCCAGCUCUUUAAAGCAGUGUCUCCUUCAGUAUCCCAGGCUGGCCUUGAACU
rnacentral:snRNA from 1 species